rnacentral:lncRNA from 1 species
AAAAGAAAGAAAUAUUUUCAUUGGCUAUUAUUAAAUUCCUUUUAAUAUACUUUAUUUUCAUUGGCUAUUAAUAAUUCCUUUUCAUAUACUUUAUUUUCAUUGGCUGACAAAUAAUCAGCUACAUCUUCAUGCUCAAUGAGGAAAAUCCAGUGUUGAAUGGCCAUGUUAAAAAAUAAGAAACCGAAAAUCAAGAUGGUAACCAUGACAGUGAUUGAAGAAUGUUUUGGAGGAGAGAUAGAAUAUUGCCCAUCUGCUACAAUCACGUGUGAAAAACAAAAAUACAUGGUCCAUUAUUAAAGAGUCAGCUUAUGAAAAUGAAUGAAAACAGUUGAAAUGACUAUGGAUCACGUAACAAGAAAAAAUAAACAACUAAUAAUUUCCUCUUCCCCCAAUGAGUAGUAUUUACAAUAAAUAUCAGUGAUAACUAUAAAUUGCAUAUGCCGAAGCACCAAACAUAACUUCUACUAGCUCACGCCAUUUUAACAGCUUUAUUCCAAAUAGGGUUGAUAAUUAUUUACUCUGACAGGAUCAACAUAACUCAUUCCCAAUCAAUUUCAAAUAUGAGUGUAAAUAUAUUCUGUAGUUAAAUAAGU